GGCCAGUUAGCUCAGUGGUUUGAGCGCGGUGUUGACAACAAUGGCAACACCAAGGUUGCGGGUUCGAUUCCCGCUCGGUCCC
rfam:Apaloderma vittatum contig63248, whole genome shotgun sequence.